rnacentral:rRNA from 1 species
CGAACGCUGAAGCCCCAGCUUGCUGGGGUGGAUGAGUGGCGAACGGGUGAGUAACACGUGAGUAACCUGCCCAUCACUCUGGGAUAAGCGCUGGAAACGGCGUCUAAUACUGGAUACGAGCAGCGACCGCAUGGUCAGUUGCUGGAAAGACUGGUUCGGUGAUGGAUGGACUCGCGGCCUAUCAGCUUGUUGGUGAGGUAAUGGCUCACCAAGGCGACGACGGGUAGCCGGCCUGAGAGGGUGACCGGCCACACUGGGACUGAGACACGGCCCAGACUCCUACGGGAGGCAGCAGUGGGGAAUAUUGCACAAUGGGCGCAAGCCUGAUGCAGCAACGCCGCGUGAGGGAUGACGGCCUUCGGGUUGUAAACCUCUUUUAGUAGGGAAGAAGCCUUCGGGUGACGGUACCUGCAGAAAAAGCACCGGCUAACUACGUGCCAGCAGCCGCGGUAAUACGUAGGGUGCAAGCGUUGUCCGGAAUUAUUGGGCGUAAAGAGCUCGUAGGCGGCUUGUCGCGUCUGCUGUGAAAACCCGAGGCUCAACCUCGGGCCUGCAGUGGGUACGGGCAAGCUAGAGUGCGGUAGGGGAGAUUGGAAUUCCUGGUGUAGCGGUGGAAUGCGCAGAUAUCAGGAGGAACACCGAUGGCGAAGGCAGAUCUCUGGGCCGUAACU